UGAAAGUCUGCAGAAGAUUUCCAAACCGCAUUGUUUGUGGACUGUAAAUUCUGUAGUUGAAUUCAUUGUAUGUGCUCGAUGGGCAACUAAUUACAUGUGUGAAAAAAUGGGUUAUAAUUGAUAAAGAUAUGACUGUAAAGAUUUCUACGUUAUCUUUUCUGAAUUUUUGAGCUAUGAAUAGAUGGAUUUUUUUUUUUUUUUAAUUAAGGAAAUUGUCAGAGAUGAUACUUGUCUGUAGUGUCUUAGAAGGAUUAUUUUUCAAUCAAAAACAUGUUCUGA